GCCUCAGUAACGGCGAGUGAAGCGGCAACAGCUCAAAUUUGAAAUCUGGCUCUUUCAGGGCCCGAGUUGUAAUUUGUAGAAGAUGCUUUGAGCGUGGCUCCGGUCUAAGUUCCUUGGAACAGGACGUCAUAGAGGGUGAGAAUCCCGUAUGUGACUGGGUGCCUUCGUUCGUGUAAAGCUCUUUCGACGAGUCGAGUUGUUUGGGAAUGCAGCUCAAAAUGGGUGGUAAAUUUCAUCUAAAGCUAAAUAUUGGCCAGAGACCGAUAGCGCACAAGUAGAGUGAUCGAAAGAUGAAAAGCACUUUGGAAAGAGAGUUAAACAGUACGUGAAAUUGUUGAAAGGGAAGCGCUUGCAACCAGACUUGUACGCUGUUGAUCAUCCGAGGUUUUCCCCGGUGCACUCGGCAGUGUUCAGGCCAGCAUCGGUUUUGGUGGGCGGAUAAAGGCCUUGGGAAUGUAGCUUCUUUCGGGGAGUGUUAUAGCCCUCGGUGCAAUGCGCCCUACCGGGACCGAGGACCGCGCUUCGGCUAGGAUGCUGGCGUAAUGGUUGUAAGCGACCCGUCUUGAAACACGGACCAAGGAGUCUAACAUCUAUGCGAGUGUUUGGGUGUCAAACCCAUACGCGUAAUGAAAGUGAACGGAGGUGAGAACCCUUAAGGGUGCAUCAUCGACCGAUCCUGAUGUCUUCGGAUGGAUUUGAGUAAAAGCAUAGCUGUUGGGACCCGAAAGAUGGUGAACUAUGCCUGAAUAGGGUGAAGCCAGAGGAAACUCUGGUGGAGCUUCGCAGCGGUUCUGACGUGCAAAUCGAUCGUCAAAUUUGGGGUAUAGGGGGCGAAAGACUAAUCGAACCAUCUAGUAGCUGGUCCCUGCCG
rnacentral:rRNA from 2 species